rnacentral:rRNA from 1 species
ACGAGAUAUUAACUGUUUCAUAAAAAUUUUUAUUAGAAUUUUAUUUUUUAGUCAAAAAGCUAAAAUUUAUUUAAAAGACGAGAAGACCCUAUAAAUCUUUAUAUUUAGAUUAUUUUAAUUUUUUGGAUUUAUUUUAUUAAAAUAAUUAAUAAUAUUUUAUAGGGGGGAUAUUAAAAUUUAAUAAACUUUUAAUUAUUUAAAAUCAUUAAUUAAUGAAUAGUUGAUCCGUUAUUAACGAUUAAAAAUUUAAGUUAC